rnacentral:misc_RNA from 1 species
CAUGGUGGACUACUGAUUACUUUAUCCAAAAGCAUUUUAAUUUGUGAUUUCUGGCGUUAAAUCGAUACGUGAAUGAAAGCAUCAUGGACUGGAAAAGUGUUAAGAUUAUUUUGGCGUCUACGGCUACGGCAAUCGUCGCUUCCCAAGUAGCAAAAAAAGUGUACAGGUAUUUUUUCGACACAGGAAAAUGCUCUUCAGAAGAGAUUCAUGACGAAAUAUGCAAUGACGCUUUAAGCAAAAAUCGUGAAAUAAAUGAUGUGAUUUUAUUCUCGGACGAUGUCGUUCGUCACACUAUUCGAGUGACACCGAACAAAGAAAUAACAAUGUGUGAAAGUAGAGAACUCAAUUGCUUCAAACUUAUAAAAUAUAUAAAGUCAGCACGUGAAACACUGGACGUCUGUAUGUACUUAAUUACAAGCAGCCAAAUAGCCGAGCAGAUCAUUCGGCUGGGACAGAAGCACGUGUUGGUUAGAAUAAUCGUCGACAGUGACAUGGCGAACACACCGCCUUCGCAAAUAAAAAAGCUGAAAGAAUACAGUUUCAUUCAGGUGCAGACCAAUAAAAAAACAAUUUUGAUGCAUCACAAGUUCUGCAUAAUUGACGGUCCCAAAGCCGUUAAACGAAAGAAUAUUUUAAAAAUGUACGCGGAAAAGCUUAACGUGCACGCCCAGUUCAAAACUCUGAACGAGAAAAAGCAGCAUAAAAACAGGCCUGUCAAGGGUUUCGUGAUGUCGGGUUCUCUGAAUUGGUCCACCCAGGCUAUGGUUUCAAACCAUGAAAGUGUCAUAGUUACAUCUCAACAGAAUAUCGUUGGUAAAUUCGAGAAAGAGUUCGAAAGUUUAUGGGUGGAAGAUGAGCCGGCACUCCUUACGACCUCAUGACAACAUAUGACUAGAAUUGUAGCAGCAUAUAUAACAUAAUAGUUACCGAUUGUUCGACAUCCACGAUAAAUGCAUUAAUGAUGCAACACCACAUGUGCAGUGAAAUGUGCCAAAUAUUCAAUUCAAACGUGUACCGACACAACACAUGUGACGUGAAUGCUAAACAUAAAUUAUUGUUCAAAAUAUAUUGUGGAUGUAGACAGUUGUUCGAAUUUACGUGAAAAAUGUGUUUUUAAAAAGUGCGCUUUGGAUGCAGUGUUCACCGGUAGAUGGCGUUGUCGUCGUU